rnacentral:rRNA from 1 species
AUUGAACGCUGGCGGCAGGCUUAACACAUGCAAGUCGAGCGGAGAUGAGGUGCUUGCACCUUAUCUUAGCGGCGGACGGGUGAGUAAUGCUUAGGAAUCUGCCUAUUAGUGGGGGACAACAUUCCGAAAGGAAUGCUAAUACCGCAUACGUCCUACGGGAGAAAGCAGGGGAUCUUCGGACCUUGCGCUAAUAGAUGAGCCUAAGUCGGAUUAGCUAGUUGGUGGGGUAAGGGCCUACCAAGGCGACGAUCUGUAGCGGGUCUGAGAGGAUGGUCCGCCACACUGGGACUGAGACACGGCCCAGACUCCUACGGGAGGCAGCAGUGGGGAAUAUUGGACAAUGGGGGGAACCCUGAUCCAGCCAUGCCGCGUGUGUGAAGAAGGCCUUAUGGCUGUAAAGCACUUUAAGCGAGGAGGAGGCUACUGAGACUAAUACUCUUGGAUAGUGGACGUUACUCGCAGAAUAAGCACCGGCUAACUCUGUGCCAGCCGCCGCCGUAAAAC